CCUACGGGUGGCAGCAGUGGGGAAUAUUGGGCAAUGGGCGCAAGCCUGACCCAGCAACGCCGCGUGAAGGAAGAAGGCUUUCGGGUUGUAAACUUCUUUUCUCAGGGACGAAGCACGUGACGGUACCUGAGUACUAAGCCACGGCUACCUACGUGCCAGCAGCCGCGGUAAUACGUAGGUGGCAAGCGUUAUCCGGAUUUACUGGGUGUAAAGGGCGUGUAGGCGGGGACGCAAGUCAGAUGUGAAAACCACGGGCUCAACCUGUGGGCUGCCUUUGAAACUGUGUUUCUUGAGUAGUGGAGAGGCAGACGGAAUUCCCAGGGUAGCGGUGAAAUGCGUAGAUAUUAGGAGGAACACCAGUGGCGAAGGCGGUCUGCUGGAGAGCAACUGACGCUGAGGCGCGAAAGCGUGGGGAGCAAACAGGAUUAGAUUCCCCUGGUAGUC
rnacentral:rRNA from 1 species